UCUCCCUCUCUCCCUUCUCCAUGCCACACCCUCUCUCCCUCUUCUCUUUCCAUGCCCAAGGGUUGGGCGUCCAUCCUUCUACACGCCAAGAAGUGAGGAGUUGUUCUUCUACAGCAAGAAACGAGGAGAAGAAGGCUGUAGUUCAAGAGUUGAGUUCGCAGUCAAGAUCAAAGAGUUGAUCAAGGUUCUAAAGGGCUGCGAUCUUACUUAGGAAAGAAGGAUCUACCACAAGAAGAAAGAUUCAAGGUUGA
rnacentral:lncRNA from 1 species